ACUUGCGCCAAGUCUAGAAUCUUGAAAGAGAACUGAUGGGUGGCGACUUUCUGGGUUGUUUGAUGUUGUCUUAGGUGAGACUGAGACAGGGAAGUCCUAGUAAAGCCGUAAUUGUUCAGGAGAUGCUACCGCUAAUGUAUUAAGCUAAUAUAUAGCUAAUCUAAAACUCACUUGUCUCUCUCUUCUUUUUCAGUUUGAGAAUGCUUAGGUAAAUGAACGUGACUCUUCUAUAAAUACAUAAAUGCAGAAUUUCGUAAGCUAUGAAAUUGACUGUUACAUGUUUGCUGUGUUGUGCAGAUAAUGUAUCUUGGUACAGCUCCCAACAACCUGGCUACUGAAGACUCAGGGUACGUGCUGAUCAAGGGGUGGAAAAUGUGGACGUGGCACGACUUAUGUUUAUGAUUCGUGGAACAGGAAGAAGCAGUUUUAUAUCUGGGAAGAGUGUGUACAAUCAAAGGAUUGAGUGACUAUGGAGAGAUCUGUGGACAGCUGUAACAUGCAUCUAUUAUGAUGUGCUACGCUACCUUGAAAAAGAGGGAUACCUGGACAUUUCAAAUGAAGCACACCUCUUCUGUUGCCAUUAUGUCUUCCUGCCACGUCUGCAGGAUGAUCUGGAUACUUUCCGCAGUGGCUGGGACAAUCACCCACUUCGAACUGAAAGCAACAUGACUCCUAACCAGCUCUGGGUUCUUGGUCGUACACAUCAUCCAAUUCCUGAACCCCACGGUGCCUUGAUAGAGGCACAUUUUAAUUGGGACAAUUUAAUGUGUAGCACGUGUACUACCAUUCACUUAAUUUGUAAAAUAGUAAUCUACAAUAUCUUACUAAGUCAAUUUUGAGUUCUCUUGAUCCCUUCUUUGUGUUUUCCAGGGUGUACAGAUUCCCAAAAUUGAAUGGGAGGACAGCGGGCUUCCUCUUCAUGAAGAGUCAAAUGUCACAGUACCAAACUCUAAUUUACAACUGACUGACGAACAAAUGGCAGCCUUAAGAAAUGCAGUAAACCCAAAAGCCACAUCAGUGUCUUCUGGAUGUUACAUUUAUAUUGCUGCAGUUCAGUUUUGCAAGCAGUUUUUUACUAUGUGAAAGUUAUACAGUUUACGGAAGCGUAUUGCUAUCACGCAGGGAAAAAGAUUCAAGAGCUAUCACGUUGAGACGUGAUAGUUGUCUUGUUAAAACGUGAUACGUAUCUUAUAUAAACGUGAUAAUUUUAUGUCCAGGAAGUGGCGGUAUUAUGCUAGGCUAGUACAGUGGCUAACAGGAGUUGGUCAAGUUUCCCUUCAUGUUUAGUCUAAAACACGGAGAGAUACGGAUGCUGCUUUGCAUUGUGGUUGAAACCAUUAAUGGCAUGCACACUCUGAGCAGGAUCCUAAACAGAACGGGACUGCACAGAAGGAAACGUCAGUCCGAUCCUCUAGCUGUGGCGGCUUUCCUAACUGACUCUGGAUUGAAGCUGAAGUUGGCUUCCGAUUGUAACUUCUGAUUCGGGAAAUGGCUAAAGGGCGAUUAUAACGGAGAUGUAUUUGCUGAACAUUUUAUGUUCAGAUUUGUAUUGAACAAUACAAUAGCUGAAUAACGGCAAACGGCUGUUUGGAAAGGGGGGGAAGAUUACACAAGGAGAAAUAACCAAAAUACAAACACAAAGGAGUAAGUAGACUAAAGGAACCUAAUUAGAACAAAGGAAAAUAACUAGAAACAAGAAAUAAACAUAAUUAGAAACACCAAUGAAGAAUGUGGAAAACAAGGCAAAAUGAAAUGGAAACAACUUAGGAACACCAAAAGAAUCUGAGGAGGACUCCGGCGGAACAGCAGCCUUGGGGGACACCGGCGGCGGAGCAGAAACCUAGGAGGAUGCUGGGGAUGUGUCCCAUCCUGGCUGAUCUCCUAAGCCUUGUCGCAGGUCCUGUUGACCUUCCAGCCAAACUCCUGAGCCUGGCUAGGAGGUCGAUGGGACCUGCGACAAGGGCAGCGGAGCAAGUACCUGCCGGCGGCAGAGCAGGAACCAGGAGGGUAAUGGGACCCGCAACAAAGCCCUGGAGGCAGGUUGGGAGACCAACAGUACUCAAUACAAAGCCCUAGAGGUCAGCCUGGAGACCAACGGGACUCGCUACGAAGCCAUGGAAGCAGGCCAGGAGACCAACAG